CUUGGUCAUUUAGAGGAAGUAAAAGUCGUAACAAGGUUUCCGUAGGUGAACCUGCGGAAGGAUCAUUAAUGAAUUUUAGGAUGUCCUCUUCAUCGGAGGGACCCGACCUUCAUCUCCAACUCUCUGUGCACUCCAACUGGGACUUGCGCGAGCAAGCACCCACCUUUUUUAAACACUACAAGUCAUUGAAUGUUAUAAAACACAAAACAAAUAUAAAAAACUUUCAACAACGGAUCUCUUGGCUCUCGCAUCGAUGAAGAACGCAGCGAAAUGUGAUAAGUAAUGUGAAUUGCAGAAUUCAGUGAAUCAUCGAAUCUUUGAACGCACCUUGCGCUCUCUGGUAUUCCGGAGAGCAUGCCUGUUUGAGUGCCAUGAACUCUUCAACCCAAGUGGUUCCUUGUUGGACCAAGUUUGGUGUUUGGAUCUUGAGCGCUGCUGGUCUUUUUCGGAAGGCGAAGCUCGUUCGUAAUGCAUUAGCAACUCAAUUUCGAGUGUUCGGAUUGACUCGGCGUAAUAGACUAUUCGCUGAGGACAUCGAGUUAAACUGGUGGCCGAACUUUGAGGUAGAUGCUUCUAAAACCCCUUUAUGAAGUCAAAUUCUUAGAUUAGACCUCAGAUCAGGCAGGAUUACCCGCUGAACUUAAGCAUAUCAAUAAGCGGAGGA
rnacentral:rRNA from 1 species